GUGGGUAGUUUGACUGGGGCGGUCUCCUCCUAAAGAGUAACGGAGGAGCACGAAGGUUGGCUAAUCCUGGUCGGACAUCAGGAGGUUAGUGCAAUGGCAUAAGCCAGCUUGACUGCGAGCGUGACGGCGCGAGCAGGUGCGAAAGCAGGUCAUAGUGAUCCGGUGGUUCUGAAUGGAAGGGCCAUCGCUCAACGGAUAAAAGGUACUCCGGGGAUAACAGGCUGAUACCGCCCAAGAGUUCAUAUCGACGGCGGUGUUUGGCACCUCGAUGUCGGCUCAUCACAUCCUGGGGCUGAAGUAGGUCCCAAGGGUAUGGCUGUUCGCCAUUUAAAGUGGUACGCGAGCUGGGUUUAGAACGUCGUGAGACAGUUCGGUCCCUAUCUGCCGUGGGCGCUGGAGAACUGAGGGGGGCUGCUCCUAGUACGAGAGGACCGGAGUGGACGCAUCACUGGUGUUCGGGUUGUCAUGCCAAUGGCACUGCCCGGUAGCUAAAUGCGGAAGAGAUAAGUGCUGAAAGCAUCUAAGCACGAAACUUGCCCCGAGAUGAGUUCUCCCUGAGACUUAGAGUCUCCUGAAGGAACGUUGAAGACGACGACGUUGAUAGGCCGGGUGUGUAAGCGCAGCGAUGCGU
rnacentral:rRNA from 1 species